AGAGUUUGAUCCUGGCUCAGGAUGAACGCUAGCUACAGGCUUAACACAUGCAAGUCGAGGGGAAACGAUAGAGAAAGCUUGCUUUUUCUAGGCGUCGACCGGCGCACGGGUGAGUAACGCGUAUCCAACCUGCCCACCACUUGGGGAUAACCUUGCGAAAGUAAGACUAAUACCCAAUGAUAUCUCUAGAAGACAUCUGAAAGAGAUUAAAGAUUUAUCGGUGAUGGAUGGGGAUGCGUCUGAUUAACUUGUUGGCGGGGUAACGGCCCACCAAGGCGACGAUCAGUAGGGGUUCUGAGAGGAAGGUCCCCCACAUUGGAACUGAGACACGGUCCAAACUCCUACGGGAGGCAGCAGUGAGGAAUAUUGGUCAAUGGACGAGAGUCUGAACCAGCCAAGUAGCGUGCAGGAAGACGGCCCUAUGGGUUGUAAACUGCUUUUAUAAGGGAAUAAAGUGGGAGUCGUGACUCCUUUUGCAUGUACCUUAUGAAUAAGGACCGGCUAAUUCCGUGCCAGCAGCCGCGGUAAUACGGAAGGUCCGGGCGUUAUCCGGAUUUAUUGGGUUUAAAGGGAGCGUAGGCCGGAGAUUAAGCGUGUUGUGAAAUGUAGACGCUCAACGUCUGCACUGCAGCGCGAACUGGUUUCCUUGAGUACGCACAAAGUGGGCGGAAUUCGUGGUGUAGCGGUGAAAUGCUUAGAUAUCACGAAGAACUCCGAUUGCGAAGGCAGCUCACUGGAGCGCAACUGACGCUGAAGCUCGAAAGUGCGGGUAUCAAACAGGAUUAGAUACCCUGGUAGUCCGCACGGUAAACGAUGGAUGCCCGCUGUUGGUCUGAAUAGGUCAGCGGCCAAGCGAAAGCAUUAAGCAUCCCACCUGGGGAGUACGCCGGCAA
rnacentral:rRNA from 1 species